GACGAAGGUGGCGAGCGUUGUUCGGAAUCACUGGGCAUAAAGUGCACGUAGGCGGUGUCGUAAGUCGGAUGUGAAAUCCCUCGGCCUAACCGAGGAACUGCGUCCGAUACUGCGAUGCUUGAGGACCAGAGGGGUGCAUGGAAUUUCCGGUGGAGCGGUGAAAUGCGUUGAUAUCGGAAGGAACUCCGGCGGCGAAAGCGAUGCACUGGCUGGUUUCUGACGCUGAGGUGCGAAAGCCAGGGGAGCAAACGGG
rnacentral:rRNA from 1 species